UGGGGAAUCUUGCACAAUGGUCGAAAGGCUGAUGCAGCGACGCCGCGUGGGGGAAGAAGGCCUUCGGGUUGUAAACCCCUGUCAGGUGGGAAGAACACUCCUGCUUUAACAGAGCUGGGGAUGACGCUACCACCAGAGGAAGCGCCAGCUAACUUCGUGCCAGCAGCUGCGGUAAGACGAAGGGCGCAAGCGUUGCUCGGAAUCACUGGGCGUAAAGGGUCCGCAGGCGGCCUGGUAACUCAGGCGUGAAAUCCUACGGCUUAACCGUGGACGUGCGUCCGAAAGUGCCAGGCUCGAGUGCGGGAAGGGAGAGUGGAACUGCGGGUGGAGCGGUGAAAUGCGUAGAUAUCCGCAGGAACACCGGAGGCGAAAGCGACUCUCUAGCCCGCUACUGACGCUGAGGGACAAAAGCCAGGGUAGCGAACG
rnacentral:rRNA from 1 species